GGCCAUAGCUCAUUGGUAGAGCAUCUGCUUUGCAUGCAGAAGGUCCAAGGUUCAACCCUCAGCUUCUCCAGGUAGGGCUG
rnacentral:tRNA from 1 species